UACGUAGGGUGCAAGCGUUAAUCGGAAUUACUGGGCGUAAAGCGUGCGCAGGCGGUGCUGUAAGACAGGCGUGAAAUCCCCGGGCUUAACCUGGGAAUGGCGCUUGUGACUGCAGUGCUGGAGUGCGACAGAGGGGGAUGGAAUUCCGCGUGUAGCAGUGAAAUGCGUAGAUAUGCGGAGGAACACCGAUGGCGAAGGCAAUCCCCUGGGCCUGCACUGACGCUCAUGCACGAAAGCGUGGGGAGCAAACAGG
rnacentral:rRNA from 1 species